AUUGAACGCUGGCGGCAGGCCUAACACAUGCAAGUCGAGCGGAUGAAGGGAGCUUUCUCCUGGAUUCAGCUGCGGACGGGUGAGUAAUUCCUACGAAUCUGCCUGGUAUUUGGGGAUAACGUCCGUAAACGGGCGCUAAUACCGCAUACGUCCUUAGGGAGAAAGGGGGGGAUCUUCGGACCUCGCGCUAUCAGCUGACCCUAGGUCGGAUUAGCUAGUUGGUAGGGUAACGGCCUACCAAGGCGACGAUCCGUAACUGGCCUGAGAGGAUGAUCAGCCACACUGGAACUGAGACACGGUCCAGACUCCUACGGGAGGCAGCAGUGGGGAAUCUUCGGCAAUGGGCGAAAGCCUGACGCAGCAACGCCGCGUGUGUGAAGAAGGUCUUCGGAUUGUAAAGCUCUUUUAGUAGGGAAGAAGAGAAGUAAGUGAAUCCAUGCAUGUUUUGACGGUACCAAAAGAAUAAGCACCGGCUAACUUCGUG
rnacentral:rRNA from 1 species